CCACCAUCCUAGAUAAACCAUUUUUCUAAGAAUAUGGCAUUUCAACUCACAAUCACAUUGUGAUCUUGUGGAAAGUAGUAAUAUCCAAUAAAUUCUUUUGGAUACCUUAUAAAAUAAGCUAUUAUAGAUCUAUCCUCUAGUUUAUCAGCCAUCUGUCUCUUGACAUAGGCCGGACAUCCCUAAGUCUUAAGAUAACCUAGACUCGGCU
rnacentral:lncRNA from 1 species